AUCCCCUUCGGCUAUUUAGGGUUGUCAAAAUUCAAACAUCAAACAUUUAAUCAGCAAAUAGGCCACAGGGGCACUUUUACAUGUCCAUUUUUACAAACAAUAAA